rnacentral:rRNA from 1 species
AUGAUUUCUCCCAAUUCAACAAAGUCAGGUACUACUCAUGUUCUUUCAUGCUAUGGAGCUACUCGAGGCAGCAGAACAUUAUCCCACACGGAGAUGGGGAUGGCCAUGCCCGUGCUGAUGCCGUCGGCCGUCGGUGAGAGCAUCACCGUCAACAACGGCUCCAGCGACCUCUCCAGGAGCUUCUCCAUGAUCUCCUCGGGUGACACCAACUCCAACAUCAUGUUCUUCACGCCCGGAAGCAAAAAAGCGAAGGUGCUCAUCGACAGCGACGAUGGCAUGGUCACCAGCCUCAGCAAAAUCGAAUCCCAAUUUGGCAUGUCAACCACGUCUUUAGACAUGUCCGGCAUGGACGACUAUCUGCAGCUGCAGCAAUACUUCAUCGCCUACACAGUCUGCACCAAGCGUGGCUGCGCCACUCACCCACGAAGCAUCGCUGAGAGGAUUAGAAAGAAGAGCAAGGAAUAG